UUUUGUAAAUUGUAAAGCGCGACUGGCAUCUUUUGCAACAUAACGGGCGCAGAUAUAAGCUUGCAACAAUCCCUAUGUAGGGGGCUACUAUUGCAUGGAAACUGAAGCAUCCUUGGAAACAUCUAGUAAACGUGUAAACAUUAGGAAAUGUUAGGCUCAGUUUCAGUUUCCUGUGCUCAAUUUCAGAGGUUACAAAAUGACGAUUCGAAAUAAAAUAAAAAGAAAUUAAAGCAUCUUAUUUGAUUGCACUUUAUCCUGAUCUGAGGAAUGUGGCCUACACAGCAGACAGACAAAGAUCAGCAUCAGAUCAAGAUGACAUUGACAUGCACAUGCUUCAUGCCGCAAAAGCCAAAACGUGUUUUAAACAUGCUCCACUCUAAAAUUCUAAAACUCUAAAACUCUAAACUGUAUAUGAAGUGAUUUUACAGCCCUUACGUGUUCUUGUAAGUGUGUCUUUUCAGCCUAGUUUGUACGUGCAUUUCAAUCUAAAUGGAAAACAUUUCUAUUGGAGCGUGUUUUGAAGCUCUCGAUAAGCUAACAUCAGCAGAUUUUGAAGGUGAAAGUCAUUGCUAUGAGGAAGCACUGGAGAGGAGGCUAAAUAUCUUAAACUACUGGCUGGAGAAGGAAGAAAAUGUCAACCUGAAGUCAUCAUUCCAUGAUAUUUUACUCUCAGAUGACUUUCAGUGGGAUGGAGACUGUAAUAUCAAUGUGCGCCUCUCGCUGGCGGUGCUGGCGCUGCUGGAGCUGCUGCGCCGCUGCCUGGAGGCGGCGCGCGCCUCCCGUCCUCCGUCCGCCGCC